AUGUCGCGCAGCCUGAUCCAGCCAUGCCGCGUGCAGGAAGACGGUCCUAUGGAUUGUAAACUGCUUUUGUACAGGAAGAAACACUCCCUCGUGAGGGAGCUUGACGGUACUGUAAGAAUAAGGAUCGGCUAACUCCGUGCCAGCAGCCGCGGUAAUACAACAA
rnacentral:rRNA from 1 species